UCCUGUGUGGCUCAGUUGGUAGAGCAUGGUGCUUGCAACGUCAGGGUUGUGGGUUUAAGUCCCUCAGGGGGAC
rnacentral:tRNA from 1 species